ACAAUUAUUUUGUUUUGUUUUGUUUUUUGUUUCUGGAACUGGAAUUUCCUUUCUUCUACUUACUUUGAGGUUACUUUGCUCUUCGCUUUCAGCUUCCUAAGGUUGAUCCUCAGGUACUUGACUUUAGGCACUUAUUUCUUCUUUUCUCAUACAGGCAUUUAGGACUCUAAGUUUUCCUCUAAGCAUUGCCUUAGCUCCUCAAAUUUUGAUAUUUUUGUUAUUCAGUUCAAAAUCUUUUCUAAUUUUUCUUGUGAUUAUUUCUUUGACUCAUGAGUUACUUGGCUUAUGUACCUUCUGUAUAUCUUCCUUGGUGAGGUGUCUGUCCAGGCUUUUUGCCCAUUUUUUUCAGGGGAGAACGUGAACACAGAGCAGUCCCCUCCUAGGACACGUGGGGAAAUCACAGGGGUGAGCAUUGGAUGAGCCUUGUCCUGGGGAAACCACCUUUGUGAUCACGGCAUCUCAUCUGCCAGACUCUUCAAGGAAAGAUCGUCCGUCACAGGCCCCGGAAGAGACGUCCACUGCCUUCCAGACAAGAAAGACCACUCCAGCAACCCAGCCAACGAGAAACAGUCACCACCCUGAACAAGACCUUGUUUUCCACCAAUGGGCUUCUGUUCAAAACAACCCUCCCAACUUCCUCCUUUUUCUCUAUAAAAUAAAGUCCCUCUCCUUUGUGUGCUAGACUUGACUGUGGCUUUUGCUAUAGUGUGCUUGUCCCAAAUUGCAAUUCCUUUCCUAUUCCCAAAUAAACUGAU